rnacentral:sRNA from 1 species
CCUACUGAUGCCCGCGUCG